AACGACUCUCGGCAACGGAUAUCUCGGCUCUCGCAUCGAUGAAGAACGUAGCGAAAUGCGAUACUUGGUGUGAAUUGCAGAAUCCCGUGAACCAUCGAGUCUUUGAACGCAAGUUGCGCCCGAAGCCAUUAGGCCARGGCACGUCUGGGUGGGUGUCACACAACG
rnacentral:rRNA from 1 species